UGGGGAAUAUUGGACAAUGGGCGAAAGCCUGAUCCAGCCAUGCCGCGUGUGUGAAGAAGGUCUUCGGAUUGUAAAGCACUUUAAGUUGGGAGGAAGGGCAGUAAGCGAAUACCUUGCUGUUUUGACGUUACCGACAGAAUAAGCACCGGCUAACUCUGUGCCAGCAGCCGCGGUAAUACAGAGGGUGCAAGCGUUAAUCGGAAUUAUUGGGCGUAAAGCGCGCGUAGGUGGUUCGUUAAGUUGAAUGUGAAAGCCCCGGGCUCAACCUGGGGACUGCAUCCAAGACUGGCGAGCUAGAGUAGGGCAGAGGGUGUUGGAAUGUCCUAGGUAGCGGUGAAAUGCGUAGAUAUAGAAAGGAACACCAGUGGCGAAGGCGACCACCUGGGCUCAUACUGACACUGAGGUGCGAAAGCGUGAGGAGCAAACAGG
rnacentral:rRNA from 1 species